UCCCUGGUAGCUCAGCUGGUAAAGAAUCUGACUAGAAUCCAGGAGACCUGGGUUUGAUCCCUGGCUUGGGAA
rnacentral:tRNA from 1 species